AUUGAACGCUGGCGGCAGGCCUAACACAUGCAAGUCGAACGAGUGGCGGACGGGUGCGUAAUGUCUGGGAAACUGCCUGAUGGAGGGGGAUAACUACUGGAAACGGUAGCUAAUACCUCAUACAGUCGGAUGUGCCCAGAUGGGAUUACCUAGUAGGUGGGGUAAAGGCUCACCUAGGCUACUGUCCCUAGUGGGUCUGAGAGGCUGACCAGCCAAUCGGGAACUGAGACACGGUCCAGACUCCUACGGAAGGCAGCAGUGGGGAAUAUUGCACAAUGGGCGCAAGCCGGAUGCAGCCAUGCCGCGUGUAUGAAGAAGGCCUUCGGGUUGUAAAGUACUUUCAGCGGGGAGGCGUUACCCGCAGAAGAAGCACCGGCUAACUCCGUGCCAGCAGCCGCGGUAAUAC
rnacentral:rRNA from 1 species